GACGAACGCUGGCGGCGUGCUUAACACAUGCCAGUCGAACGGAAAGGCCCUGCUUUUGUGGGGUGCUCGAGUGGCGAACGGGUGAGUAACACGUGAGUAACCUGCCCUUGACUUUGGGAUAACUUCAGGAAACUGGGGCUAAUACCGGAUAGGAGCUCCUGCUGCAUGGUGGGGGUUGGAAAGUUUCGGCGGUUGGGGUUGGACUCGCGGCUUAUCAGCUUGUUGGUGGGGUAGUGGCUUACCAAGGCUUUGACGGGUAGCCGGCCUGAGAGGGUGACCGGCCACAUUGGGACUGAGAUACGGCGCAGACUCCUACGGGAGGCAGCAGUGGGGAAUAUUGCACAAUGGGCGGAAGCCUGAUGCAGCAACGCCGCGUGCGGGAUGACGGCCUUCGGGUUGUAAACCGCUUUCGCCUGUGACGAAGCGUGAGUGACGGUAAUGGGUAAAGAAGCACCGGCUAACUACGUG
rnacentral:rRNA from 1 species